CUCGCGUUGGAGGAGCUUGCUCUGAGCUGCUGCCACCUGCUGGGCUGGAGCUGGAGCUGGAGCUGCGAAUUCGGAGUCCCGGUUCCCUGUGCCACCUGGCGAGCUCAGCAAACUAAAAGUCUCUUUGUCUUCAUCGUUUCCGGCACUGAUGUGAGCACAUCAUAAGCACAAGACCUGGACACCUUUACAAUCAGAGGGCCUAGGACUGGAGCUCUGGAUCUGACCGGAGCAAAGAGGAAGCACGCAAAUCCGGACAUGACGACGAGGAGGCAGUAGAGACCCAUCCUCAACUGUAAGUAACUGCCUUCGGCAGGGAAGGGGCUAACCCACGUUGUGUGGGCUCAGGCACGGCCGCGUCUGGUUCUGUGCAGGAACACAGGCAGAGGCAAGCCCUGGGUCCGCAUCAUGGCUCUGCCCUCACUCAGAUUGCCUUGUACAUGUAGGUUCUUGUCCUAGAGCCUCUUUCCCUACUUCUAAAUGAGUGGAAAGCCACCCACAAGCCCGUGAGUGAGGAUGCCCUUGGUAAACCCAGGUGAUCACACCCUGGGCAGGCCCUGCCCCACAGGGCCCCAUCCCGCUGCUCCCCAGCCUGUCCUCACCAACUGCCCAGGCAGGAGCAAAGCCCACGGGGAGGACCUGUGACCACAGGCAAGGACCACGGACCCCAGCCCCAGGGAUUUUGACCUCAAGAAAGGAAACAUCCACAAUUUACCCUCCAUCUGGUGAUCCAGCUGCAUCUGGGGUGGGUUUGGUCUCUGCUGGGACCAUGAGGUUCAGACCACCAAGAAAUAGCACUAGCACAGGUGAAAAUCAUGGGCAAACUUUAUUGGCAUAAAUCACAGGAAUUGAAAUGGGAAAAGCCAGCUUGGAAGUUUACAGAGAAAAAAUAAAAUCAAAAUCAAAUUUUCAAAUAA
rnacentral:lncRNA from 1 species